rnacentral:rRNA from 1 species
UGGGGAAUUUUGGACAAUGGGCGAAAGCCUGAUCCAGCAAUGCCGCGUGUGUGAAGAAGGCCUUCGGGUUGUAAAGCACUUUUGUCCGGAAAGAAAUCCUUGGCUCUAAUACAGUCGGGGGAUGACGGUACCGGAAGAAUAAGCACCGGCUAACUACGUGCCAGCAGCCGCGGUAAUACGUAGGGUGCAAGCGUUAAUCGGAAUUACUGGGCGUAAAGCGUGCGCAGGCGGCUUGCUAAGACCGAUGUGAAAUCCCCGGGCUCAACCUGGGAACUGCAUUGGUGACUGGCAGGCUAGAGUAUGGCAGAGGGGGGUAGAAUUCCACGUGUAGCAGUGAAAUGCGUAGAGAUGUGGAGGAAUACCGAUGGCGAAGGCAGCCCCCUGGGCCAAUACUGAUGCUCAUGCACGAAAGCGUGGGGAGCAAACAGGAUUAGAUACCCUGGUAGUCCACGCCCUAAACCGAUGUCAACUAGUUGUUGGGGAUUCAUUUUCCUUAGUAACGUAGCUAACGCGUGAAGUUGACCGCCUGGGGAGUACGGUCGCAAGAUUAAAACUCAAAUGAAUUGACGGGGUCAUAGCUG